rnacentral:sRNA from 1 species
GCCGGGCACAGUGGCCUGUGCCUGUAAUCCCAGGGUUUCAGGAGGCUGGGUCAUGGAAGAUCAAGAGUUCAAAGCCAGCCUCAGCAACAGCAAGGCGCUAAACAACUCAGUGAGACCCUGUCUCUUAAUAAAAUACAAAAUAGGGCUGGGGAUGUGGCUCAGUGGCCGAGUGCUCUUGAAUUCAAUUCCCGGGACCCGC